AAAACAGAACGCAAUAGCAAUGAAAAUGCAAACAACAGCAUUGCCGACCCCGCGCCUUCUGUUGUUCACAAUGAUCCGCCCAACCAGAAUGGCAUCCGGCAAACGGUCAUUAAAAAGGAAAACAAUGUGGUUACGCCGCCGCCAUCACAACCUCAAA
rnacentral:misc_RNA from 1 species